rnacentral:rRNA from 1 species
AAUCAACGCUGGCGGCGUGCCUCAGACAUGCAAGUCGAACGCGAAAGCCCCCUUCGGGGGCAAGUAAAGUGGCGCACGGGUGAGUAACACGUAGGUAAUCUACCUUUGGAUGGGGAAUAACCACCGGAAACGGUGGCUAAUACCGCAUAAUGCAGCGGCACCUAAUGGUGACAGUUGUUAAAGCGGGGGAUCGCAAGACCUCGCGUCUGAAGAGGAGCCUGCGGCAGAUUAGCUAGUUGGUAGGGUAACGGCUUACCAAGGCGAUGAUCUGUAGCCGGCCUGAGAGGGCGGUCGGCCACACUGACACUGACAUACGGGUCAGACUCCUACGGGAGGCAGCAGUCGGGAAUUUUGGGCAAUGGGCGAAAGCCUGACCCAGCGACGCCGCGUGAAGGAUGAAAUCCCUCGGGAUGUAAACUUCGCAAGAACGGGAAGAAUAAGUAAGGGUUAAUAUCCCUUACGAUGACGGUACCGUUUGUAAGCUCCGGCUAACUCCGUGCCAGCAGCCGCGGUAAUACGGGGGG